rnacentral:misc_RNA from 1 species
GUGAAUCAUCGAAUUUUUGAACGCAAAUUGCACUCUCUUCGGAGAGGAUGCGUGUUUGAGGGUCAGCCUAAAAAAAAUCAACAUCGUCGCUGUUUCGCGGUUUCAUGCGUUGGAAAUUGGGGCAUGUUAAACCUUUGGGUUUUAAGCGGCUUAAAAAUUUUUCUACGAUUUUACGAACGUUUCUAAGAUUUUCUUUAACUUUUAAGGUAUCGAUUUUUAUUAGACGUGGUCG